rnacentral:tRNA from 1 species
AGGCGUUUAGCUCAGCGGUAGAGCGUCUGCCUUACAAGCAGAGUGUCACUGGUUCAAAUCCUGUAUCGCCUA